GUCUACGGCCAUGCCACCCUGAAUAAGCCCAAUUCCAUCUGAUCUCAGAAGCUAAGCAGGGUUGGGACUGGUUAGUACUUGGAUUGGAGACCACCUAGGAAGACCGGGUGCUGUAGGCG
rnacentral:rRNA from 1 species